rnacentral:rRNA from 1 species
GCAUAUCAAUAAGCGGAGGAAAAGAAACCAACAGGGAUUGCCCUAGUAACGGCGAGUGAAGCGGCAACAGCUCAAAUUUGAAAUCUGGCCUCGGCCCGAGUUGUAAUUUGUAGAGGAAGCUUUUGGCGCGGCACCUUCUGAGUCCCCUGGAACGGGGCGCCAUAGAGGGUGAGAGCCCCGUAUAGUUGGAUGCCUAGCCUCUGUAAAGCUCCUUCGACGAGUCGAGUAGUUUGGGAAUGCUGCUCAAAAUGGGAGGUAAAUUUCUUCUAAAGCUAAAUACCGGCCAGAGACCGAUAGCGCACAAGUAGAGUGAUCGAAAGAUGAAAAGCACUUUGAAAAGAGGGUUAAAUAGCACGUGAAAUUGUUGAAAGGGAAGCGCUUGUGACCAGACUUGCGCCGGGCUGAUCAUCCGGUGUUCUCACCGGUGCACUCUGCCCGGCUCAGGCCAGCAUCGGUUCUCGCGGGGGGACAAAGGCCCUGGGAACGUAGCUCCUCCGGGAGUGUUAUAGCCCAGGGCGUAAUGCCCUCGCGGGGACCGAGGUUCGCGCUCUGCAAGGAUG